UACGUAGGGACCAAGCGUUGUCCGGAAUCAUUGGGCGUAAAGAGCGUGUAGGCGGCCUGUUAAGUCUUGCGUGAAAUCUCGGGGCUCAACCCCGAGCGGUCGUGAGAAACUGGCAGGCUAGAGUGCGGGAGAGGAGAGUGGAAUUCCUGGUGUAGCGGUGAAAUGCGCAGAUAUCCGGAGGAACACCGGUGGCGAAGGCGGCUUCCUGGACCGACACUGACGCUGAGGCGCGAAAGCUAGGGGAGCAAACGGG
rnacentral:rRNA from 1 species